UACGAAGGGGGCUAGCGUUGCUCGGAAUCACUGGGCGUAAAGCGCACGUAGGCGGAUUGCUAAGUCAGGGUGAAAUCCUGGAGCUCAACUCCAGAACUGCCUUUGAUACUGGCGAUCUCGAGUCCGGGAGAGGUGAGUGGAACUGCGAGUGUAGAGGUGAAAUUCGUAGAUAUUCGCAAGAACACCAGUGGCGAAGGCGGCUCACUGGCCCGGUACGUGACGCUGAGGUGCGAAAGCGUGGGAGCAA
rnacentral:rRNA from 1 species